rnacentral:rRNA from 1 species
GUAGGUGGCAAGCGUUGUCCGGAUUUAUUGGGUUUAAAGGGUGCGUAGGCGGUUCACUAAGUCAGCAGUGAAAUACGGCAGCUCAACUGUCGAGGUGCUGUUGAUACUGGUGGACUUGAGUACUGAUGAGGUAGGCGGAAUGGACGGUGUAGCGGUGAAAUGCUUAGAGAUCGUCCAGAACACCGAUAGCGAAGGCAGCUUACUAAGGAGUAACUGACGCUGAGGCACGAAAGUGUGGGGAUCAAACAGGAUUAGAUACCCUGGUAGUCCACACUGUAAACGAUGAUUACUCGAUGUGUGCGAUAUACAGCACGCGUCUUAGCAAAAGCGAUAAGUAAUCCACCUGGGGAGUACGCCGGCAACGGUG